rnacentral:rRNA from 1 species
UCUUCGGAGAGUUUGAUCCUGGCUCAGGACGAACGCUGGCGGCGUGCCUAAUACAUGCAAGUCGAGCGAAUCGAUGGGAGCUUGCUCCCUGAGAUUAGCGGCGGACGGGUGAGUAACACGU